rnacentral:rRNA from 1 species
ACGCUGGCGGCAUGCUUUACACAUGCAAGUCGGACGGCAGCACAGAGAAGCUUGCUUCUUGGGUGGCGAGUGGCGAACGGGUGAGUAACAUAUCGGAACGUACCGAGUAAUGGGGGAUAACUAAUCGAAAGAUUAGCUAAUACCGCAUAUUCUCUGAGGAGGAAAGCAGGGGACCUUCGGGCCUUGCGUUAUUCGAGCGGCCGAUAUCUGAUUAGCUAGUUGGUGGGGUAAAGGCCUACCAAGGCGACGAUCAGUAGCGGGUCUGAGAGGAUGAUCCGCCACACUGGGACUGAGACACGGCCCAGACUCCUACGGGAGGCAGCAGUGGGGAAUUUUGGACAAUGGGCGCAAGCCUGAUCCAGCCAUGCCGCGUGUCUGAAGAAGGCCUUCGGGUUGUAAAGGACUUUUGUCAGGGAAGAAAAGGCUGUUGCUAAUACCGACAGCUGAUGACGGUACCUGAAGAAUAAGCACCGGCUAACUACGUGCCAGCAGCCGCGGUAAUACGUAUGGUGCGAGCGUUAAUCGGAAUUACUGGGCGUAAAGCGAGCGCAGACGGUUACUUAAGCAGGAUGUGAAAUCCCCGGGCUCAACCUGGGAACUGCGUUCUGAACUGGGUGACUAGAGUGUGUCAGAGGGAGGUAGAAUUCCACGUGUAGCAGUGAAAUGCGUAGAGAUGUGGAGGAAUACCGAUGGCGAAGGCAGCCUCCUGGGAUAACACUGACGUUCAUGCUCGAAAGCGUGGGUAGCAAACAGGAUUAGAUACCCUGGUAGUCCACGCCCUAAACGAUGUCAAUUAGCUGUUGGGCAACUUGAUUGCUUAGUAGCGUAGCUAACGCGUGAAAUUGACCGCCUGGGGAGUACGGUCGCAAGAUUAAAACUCAAAGGAAUUGACGGGGACCCGCACAAGCGGUGGAUGAUGU